UUUGUCUAAGUGAAAGUCCUCUGCUUUCAUCUGAGUUGUCUUGUGUCACCUGAUUAGUGUGCACUUGCUGGUAUAUGCCAUUGUGCUUUGGGCAGGUGACACUCAUUAUGGUCUCUCUGCAGUGCCACUGAACUGGGGGAAGACUGUCUCUGACUGCUGAGCAGGCCUCAUCUUGGAAGCUGCAGUUCUUAUAGAUUCUCUGCGACUCAAGAUUUGUCAUCCCUCAAGCCCCAAGCCCUGGAAUCACCUCAUCCUUCACCUAAUGGCCCUAUAUCAGUGCCACUGGCUUCAGAGCAUAUGCAGAUGCUUGAAUAUUUUUUAUAACUCAUGGAGCCAAAGGAGUCUCUGGGGACAGGACCUCUUUGAAUCCACCCUCUUCUUCCUGAUGCAGUAAAUCUCAAGGCUAAUACCUCAUGGCUGAGCAGUGAUUAAGAAGUUCUGGUCCCAGUGGAUUAUUAUAAACACCUGUGAAUUACCCACUACUUUGGAGAUCACAGAGCUGAAGUGGUGGUUCUCAAACUUUAGUGUGUAUGAGUCAUCUGGAAAGAGAAUUAAAAUACAAACCUCUAGAUCCCACCCAGAGAGAUUCUGAUUUCAUAGAUCAGAAGCAUGACUUGGAAAUUGGUAGUUUUAUCAAACAUCGUAAAUAUUUCAAAUGUAGUUUCUUAGUAGACCGUACCGUGAGAAACUCAGACUUCAGGGACCAAGAGAAUUUUCCUUAUUUUUCUCAUAGUAUUACCCUUGGUUUAGAUUGGUUUAAGAUUAUUAGCAUAUUAAAGUGCAGUUUGGGACUUUGCAUAAGUACCCAGGGAAUGAAAUGCAGUGAAUGGGUAAUGGCUCUUUGAUAUGUUUAAUUAGAGAGCUGUAAUGAAUAGACAGACAGGAUUACCAACAUAUAGCUAUCUAAUUUGUGCAUAGUAGUUAAGGAGUUGUAACCCAGAUGCCUGGCUAAUAAUCCUAUUUUCUGACCCCUAUAGAUAACAUUUCUUCCUAUAUAUUCUA